rnacentral:rRNA from 1 species
GACAGAGGAUGCAAGCGUUAUCCGGAAUGAUUGGGCGUAAAGCGUCUGUAGGUGGCUUUUCAAGUCCGCCGUCAAAUCCCAGGGCUCAACCCUGGACAGGCGGUGGAAACUACCAAGCUGGAGUACGGUAGGGGCAGAGGGAAUUUCCGGUGGAGCGGUGAAAUGCGCAGAUAUCAGGAGGAACACCGGUGGCGAAGGCGGUUCUCUGGGCCUUACCUGACACUGAGGAGCGAAAGCGUGGGGAGCAAACAGG